UAUUAGUUCAAUACCAUUUGAGAAUUCCUAACUCUGUCUGAUCUCGGAAGCUAAGCACGGGAUGGGCCUGGUUAGUACUUGAAUAGGAGACUGCUGGGAAAACCAGGUGCAGCAGUAG
rnacentral:rRNA from 1 species